GAUCAUGGCUCAGGAUGAACGCUGGCGGCGUGCCUAAUACAUGCAAGUAGAACGCUGAAGCUUGGUGCUUGCACCGAGCGGAUGAGUUGCGAACGGGUGAGUAACGCGUAGGCAACCUGCCUGGUAGCGGGGGAUAACUAUUGGAAACGAUAGCUAAUACAGCAUAACAGUCGACAUUGCAUGAUGUUGAUUUGAAAGGGGCAAUUGCUCCACU
rnacentral:rRNA from 1 species